rnacentral:rRNA from 1 species
AAGAGAUCGGGAUAACACCUGGAAACAGAUGCUAAUACCGGAUAACAACAGAUGAUGCCUAUCCAACUGUUUAAAAGAUGGUUCUGCUAUCACUCUUGGAUGGACCUGCGGUGCAUUAGCUAGUUGGUAGGGUAACGGCCUACCAAGGCGAUGAUGCAUAGCCGAGUUGAGAGACUGAUCGGCCACAUUGGGACUGAUACACGGCCCAAACUCCUACGGGAGGCAGCAGCU